UGCCGGUUCUGAUGGUAGUGGGUUAUCAGAACGUAUUAACAUUUAUUGUUACUAAAGUUGGCAUACAGUCCCCCACUGCUAAAUUUGACUGCUAAAAA
ensembl:misc_RNA Y_RNA Y RNA